UCAAUGUAGGUGUUAACGCAAGAACCGUUCAAACAAAAAAAAAGUGUUUGCUCUGCUUCUCUUGAUGCUAGAAACAUGGCACCAACUCUCUCUCUCUCUCUCUCUCUCUCUAUCAUUUUCUUUUGACCCCUUUCUUGAUAUCUCAGAAGCUUUUUACUUAAAAACAUAUAGACAUGAAUGAAUCAAGAAGAAUCAGAUUGGGUUUCUCAUUCUUAUUCUUCAUCACCAUCUUGAUCAUUUCACCAGUAUCUUCAGAUGAUGGUGUUGCCAGGAAAGAAGAGAAUCCGUCGCUUUUUGAAGAUCAUAUGUGGGAUUUUUGGCAAGAAGUUUCCACCGAGCUCUUGGGAAUUGAUCCAAGGUGCAAUGCAGAAGAUCCAGAUGAAGCUUUACCCUCCAAAUCUAGAUUUCAGAAGCAACAGCGACAAGAACAACGGAGAAGAAGGAGAAGAGAAAGGAGAGAAAGUGAAAGAGGCGGCGACAAGGAGCCUUGAAGUAAGCAAAGAAGCCAUUGAAGAGUCUGCAAAACUAGCAGGAGGUGUUGUAGGGGAAGUAGUUCACAAAACAGCUGAGAAAGUCACCAAACAAACCUCACAUGAUGAAAUGUAAAUCUUCUCAUAAUGUUAUUAAAAAAAAACUCAGAUUCAAAUACCAUUUCCAUUUCAAAAAGGAACCAAACAUAGC